UCCGAAAGGUUCUGGGUGGGAAAGAGACCCCACGUCAGGCCGUGCAAGUCGGGAGGACACCUGCUCUACCGCAGUGCAGGGCGGAGGGAAUGCCAAAGAGGAGCACCGUGCCCAAAGAGCCCAGUCUCCAAGUUCAAGGAAAGCCCACUGGCCGAACUUCUGAAUGGGAUGCAGAAUCCAGCAGCUUCCCUGGGUGGCUGCCCUCGUCCACGCACACUCCAGCAGCAGCCUCCUGCGUCCACUCUUGACCCUUCACCCAACACCCUCCAACAACAGGGAGAUCCUGCCAAACACCAAGUCCCCUCACCCAGCGCCCUUCAUUAUCUCCUCCUCAAGUUGCCAAGAGAAAGACCCAAAGCCAGGAUCACGCGCCUCCAAGGCUACACACACCAGAGUGUCCCCUUUGCCUGGGUGGCUCUGUCUCUCCUGGCCUCCUUCAAGUCUCAGCUCAAAUGCCAUCUUCUCCAUGUGGCCUCCCCAGAACACCCCACUCAAAAUCUCAGUCCCCCAUUCCACCCUGAUGCCUGACAUUCUUCCUCUGCUGAAUUUUCUCCAAAGAAUUUAUCACCGCCUAACA